AGACAUAAUCCCCUUCGAUCCAGAGGAGGACGGCUUCGAGGAUGACUUGGAUGCCCCCAGAGAGGAAUGGGUAGGAAAGCGGGUGCUCAGCUGGCUGUCACAGGGCUUUGAGAGGAUUGUGCCGCAGCCGGAGGGGAUGAAAAAGCUGGAGACAGAGCAGAAGGAUCAGAAGUGUGAAGCCACAGUGGAAGGCACAAAAAGGACUGAAACGACGGCAAAGCCAAAACCCCGCCUUUCAGCUGCCAUGAGCACCUCAGUGGCAGAGACACCAGCAGCUGCCACGGAGCAGCCAGAGCCAGUGACCACCCUCACCACUCAGUCCGUGGCUCUGGAUGGCCUCAGGUA
rnacentral:lncRNA from 1 species